AUGUUAUUAAUUAUUUAAAAACUAUUUUGGCAGAUUAGUGCACUAAAUUUAGAAUUUAUUUAUGUAAUUUAUAUUACAAAUAGUACAAGUUUUAU
rnacentral:tRNA from 1 species